rnacentral:rRNA from 1 species
AGCUCUUCAACCGGAGAGUUUGAUCCUGGCUCAGAACGAACGCUGGCGGCGUGCCUAACAC